GGGCGCACAAUAGCAGAGGUCUGGCGUGUGGCGGUUUGCUGUAGGGACAAUCGAGGCUUUCUCUUCAUAGCAACACUGUCCACCUGCCGCCGGGUGGGGUGGGCAGGACCCCGCCGCGCGUGGGGGUCGCCGGGCUGCCUGGCGCGUGGGGUCGAGGCUGAGUGCCACUCCGUGGUCCCUGAGUGCACGCCCCCAGUACUGGCCCUGCUACAAGUAAUUCCCUUCCAUCCGUUCCUCGCACGGGUGCCGAACAGCCGCGCGAGUUGGGAAGGACGGAGAGCUGCUGUGCAGUCUUCGCGGCUGGACGCCCUGUGGCCGGGACCCCGCGGCUGCAGCCCCUGGAGCUUAGACGGAGUCUCGCUCGGUUGCCCAGGCUGGAGUGCGGUGGCACAAUCUCGGCUCACUGCAACCUCCGCCUCCCGGGUUCAAGCGAUCCUUCUGCUUCAGCCUCCCGAGUAGCUGGGACUACAGGUGCAUCUCAGAUGCCUUCCAGCAUGUGAAGGACACCAUUGCAUUGGCUCUCACCACCACCAUGCCCUCCUCCUUACCCAGGGUGAAGCAUGAAUCUGCACAUGGGGAGGCUUCAGAGGACAACUGAGACAAGAAGCAGGAAGCUGAGAAAGGAGGACACCUCCCACACACACAUCUAGCAAAAGCUGGACAUUUCUGGUCAGUCAUCCUUAUGCAAAGACUUUCUGGAAGGAGCAGUUAUUCUUGGGUGAGCACUUAUGUAGCAUGAAAGAGGUUAACAUUAGCCCAGGGAAAUCCUUCAAAGUAAUUGAGGGGGAAGGAUACAUUAUUUAUGCAUUUGUUCCCUUCUCUAUCGACAGUAAGAAAUGAUUCAUGGCACCUGUCACAGUCCUAGGUAGUGACAGACACCAGCCUGCACUGUAGCUGAAAACCCCUGAGAAGCCACAGAUGUGCAGUCUUCCCAGCUUGACUACAUGCCCAAGUCUUCUGAACCUUAGUUUCCCAACCUAGGAAAUAAAAAUUGUGCCCUUUACCCCUCAUGAACCUUAUUGGGGUCUUAUAAGAUUGCUCCUGGUUGCCAUUUGGCCCACAGAUGGGUUUAGUUUGGUGGACAGUGUCCCGAAAGACUUACAAAUUCAGAUCUGACUUGUUCAUUUGUGUAGGGGAGAGUUGGUGGCACACAUCCUCUCUGUCACUGUAAGUAUGUUCCAAAUGUCACAUUAGGUCCACUGGCACGUGUAAGCCCUGUCUGGCAUUUGCCUGGUCCCUGCAGGCAUUUGGGUUGGCAGUAAACUUUCUUUUCUAACAGAUUUCUGGAAAUGUUUACAUGUAGCAUAUAAUAGAAUAAUAGAACCACAGAACUUCCACAGUAAAGCCUUCCUUCUUUUAUGUUCCAAAAGCUAAAAUGUACUAACAACCUCCAAAAGGCACUAUGACAUUGGAGUUUAAACUUUGUGGAGCAGGACUCAAAGCUGGACUUAGCUGCUUGCUAACUUUGACCUUGAGUGAAGAGUUAGCAGAUGAUUUAAAGUGUAAAGUAGAAAGAAUUCAUGCUGGUUAGCCCAUUAAAUACCCGUUAAUUAAGCUCUCCAAAAACGCCAUUCAAAAAUGUAUAUGAUAAUCAAAUAUUUAUUGCAAUGUUUCUUAAAAUAGUGAAAAAUUAGAAAACAUUAUAGGGGGCUAGUGUUAAAUCAUGGUGUAACCAGAAAUGAAACAUUAUGCAACCAUAAAAAGGAGUUCUGAAGAGUAGUUCCCGGCAUGAUAUAAUGUGAAAAAAAGCAAAAUACGAAAUUGUGCAAUUCUAAUUUUGCAAAAACUUUCAGCGUACACGACUAUCACUGUAUAAAGUCACAAAGUAGGAAUGGUGAUUGUAUCUUGGAGUGAUG
ensembl:lncRNA novel transcript